rnacentral:rRNA from 1 species
AAUGAACGCUGGCGGCAGGCCUAACACAUGCAAGUCGAACGGAUCCUUCGGGAUUAGUGGCGGACGGGUGAGUAACGCGUGGGAACAUACCCAAAGGUACGGAAUAGCCUCGGGAAACUGGGAGUAAUACCGUAUGUGCUCGAAAGAGGAAAGAUUUAUCGCCUUUGGAUUGGCCCGCGUUGGAUUAGGUAGUUGGUGGGGUAAUGGCCUACCAAGCCGACGAUCCAUAGCUGGUUUGAGAGGAUGAUCAGCCACAGUGGGACUGAGACACGGCCCAGAAGCCUACGGGAGGCAGCAGUGGGGAAUCUUAGACAAGGGGGGAAACCCUGAUCUAGCCAUGCCGCGUGAUCGAUGAAGGCCUUAGGGUUGUAAAGAUCUUUCAGGUGGGAAGAUAAUGACUGUACCACCAGAAGAAGCCCCGGCUAACUCCGUGCCAGCAGCCGCAGUAA